rnacentral:rRNA from 1 species
UACGUAGGGUGCGAGCGUUGUCCGGAAUUAUUGGGCGUAAAGAGCUCGUAGGCGGUGUGUCACGUCGUUCGUGAAAACCUGCAGCUUAACUGUGGGCGUGCGGUCGAUACGGGCAUCACUGGAGUUCGGCAGGGGAGACUGGAAUUCCUGGUGUAGCGGUGAAAUGCGCAGAUAUCAGGAGGAACACCGGUGGCGAAGGCGGAUCUCUGGGCCUUACCUGACGCUGAGGCGCGAAAGCUAGGGGAGCAAACAGG